rnacentral:lncRNA from 1 species
UCUUUAGUUUUAUUCCAUAUGGAAAUCUCCCAUUUCUUAUGGUUUUUUACUUCCUGUGCUACCACCUUGAUCAAGAUAAAUUUGAAUUCGAGUUGAUUUGUGGAUUGAGUUUUUAUUAGAUCAUUCGAGUCCGAGUCGAUUGGAAUUCAGAUUUUAUUCACAGAGAAUUCGAAUUCUAUGCAUAAUUUACACACAGAUUUUUCUCUAAAAGCAUAUAUGAGAAUGUAGAUCACGUGAUCGUUAAUGAUGAAAUGAAAAGUCCUCUACUUUCUCACAUAUAAUAAGAGGAUCUUGUGCUUCCUCAUUCUUCAGAUGGAGGGACAGGGACGCCAAGCUUAUCUGCAGAAACAUAAAUAAAAUGCAAAUCAAGGCUAUAACCAAAGUAUUAGAAUUUGAUACUAACGUAAUUAAUCUGGGUAUGUGUAUAUCUAUAUAUAUUUGCUAUGAACAUUAACAAAGUAAUACUAAGAUUAACAAUAAUACUUUGUGUUACCAGCAAGAUCUUUAUUCAAACAAUCGGUGUCACACUUUGUUUCGCAAAAACUAUAGCUAGAUUCCUCGCUCGAUUCACAAUUUUGAAGACAAGUUUUUAAGCAUGUGGCAUACUCGUCGUUGUCAUUCGAUUCAUUAGCUUGUGUUUCUGAAUUGGCUUGUGUUGUCUCCGGUAAAUGAACAAUAGC